ACACGACUACAUUAGAUACCGUGUAGUCCUAGCCGUAAACGAUACUCGCUAGGUGUCGGCCACGGUGCGACCGUUGUCGGUGCCGUAGGGAAGCCGUGAAGCGAGCCACCUGGGAAGUACGGCCGCAAGGCUGAAACUUAAAGGAAUUGGCGGGGGAGCACAACAACGGGUGGAGCUUGCGGUUUAAUUGGAUUCAACGCCGGAAAUCUUACCGGGACCGACAGCAACAUGAAGGCCAAGCUGAAGACUUUGCCGGAUUAGCUG
rnacentral:rRNA from 1 species